UACGUAGGGUGCGAGCGUUAAUCGGAAUUACUGGGCGUAAAGCGUGCGCAGGCGGUUCGUUGUGUCCGUCGUGAAAGCCCCGGGCUUAACCUGGGAACUGCGAUGGAAACUAGCGAGCUGGAGUGUGGCAGAGGGGGGUGGAAUUCCGCGUGUAGCAGUGAAAUGCGUAGAGAUGUGGCGGAACACCGAUGGCGAAGGCAGCCCCCUGGGCUGAGAUUGACGCUCAGGCACGAAAGCGUGGGGAGCAAACAGG
rnacentral:rRNA from 1 species